CAGCCGCCGCGGUAACACCGAGGGUGCAAGCGUUAAUCGGAAUUACUGGGCGUAAAGCGCGCGUAGGUGGUUUGUUAAGUUGGAUGUGAAAUCCCCGGGCUCAACCUGGGAACUGCAUCCAAAACUGGCAAGCUAGAGUAUGGUAGAGGGUGGUGGAAUUUCCUGUGUAGCGGUGAAAUGCGUAGAUAUAGGAAGGAACACCAGUGGCGAAGGCGACCACCUGGACUGAUACUGACACUGAGGUGCGAAAGCGUGGGGAGCAAACAGGAUUAGAGACCCCAGUAGUCCCUGUCUCUUAUAC
rnacentral:rRNA from 1 species